rnacentral:lncRNA from 1 species
AUAUAUAUAUAUAGAGAGAGAGAGAGAGAGAGAGAGAGUAGGGCUACUAUACUCUUAUGAGUAAUUGAUCCUUCAUACUCAUAAGUUAUUUUGGAUGAUGAAGUUUCUGAAUCGACGAUCCACUACGUUGAAUAUGAUCUAGAGUAUGAAAUUUUUAAGUCUAUCAAACAGGCAUAAAAUGAACAGUCAAAAUCAAACGAUGCCUUAAAAAUGAAUGAUCGAAUCUUUUAAUUUAAGAUCAGAGUUAUUGAUUUUUAUCUAGGUAGUGAGUAGAAUUUUCUAUCAAAAAUCCAAUCUAUUCUAAUUCUUUUGCACCGCUAAACUAACAAGUAUUUUAUACCGGCUGUUAAAAAUUAUCAAUUUUGUGACCUUUAGAUCGUAAGGCAAUGAUGUGAAAAAAUUAUGAAAUUUGAUUUUUAGAAGUUUUAAAUGCUCUGGCUAAUGUUUAACGGUAUGGAUUGUCAAUUCGAAAGUUUUAUCAUCGAAAACGACUUAUGAGUAUGAUGACGAUCAUACUCAUAAGAGUAUAGUAGCCGGAUAUAUAUAUAUAUAUAUAUAUAUAUA